rnacentral:rRNA from 1 species
AUACGGAGGAUGCGAGCGUUAUCCGGAUUUAUUGGGUUUAAAGGGUGCGUAGGCUGUGCGUUAAGUCAGGGGUGAAAUGCCGUCGCUCAACGACGGAGCUGCCCUUGAUACUGGCGUGCUGGAGUACGGAUGCCGUUGGAGGAAUGAGUGGUGUAGCGGUGAAAUGCUUAGAUAUCACUCAGAACACCGAUUGCGAAGGCAUCUGACGAAUCCGUCACUGACGCUGAGGCACGAAAGCGUGGGGAUAGAACAGGAUUAGAUACCCUGGUAUUCCACGCCGUAAACGAUGAUGACUAACCGUCGGCGAUAGACAGCCGGUGGCCAAGCGAAAGCGAUAAGUCAUCCACCUGGGGAGUACGUCGGCAACGAUUAAACUCAAAGGAAUUGACGGGG